UACGUAGGGUGCGAGCGUUAUUCGGAAUUACUGGGCGUAAAGCGUGCGCAGGCGGUUUUGUAAGACAGAUGUGAAAUCCCCGGGCUUAACCUGGGAACUGCAUUUGUGACUGCAAGACUAGAGUACGGCAGAGGGGGGUAGAAGUCCACGUGUAGCAGUGAAAUGCGUAGAUAUGUGGAGGAACACCAAUGGCGAAGGCAGCCCCCGGGGAUAACACUGACGCUCAUGUACGAAAGCGUGGGUAGCAAACAGG
rnacentral:rRNA from 1 species